AGCAGCCGCGGUAAUUCCAGCUCCAAUAGCGUAUAUUAAAGUUGUUGCAGUUAAAAAGCUCGUAGUUGAAUUUCGGGGUUAGUAGAUUGGUCGUGCCAUUGGUACGUACUGGUCUUACUGAUUCCUCCUUCCUGAUGAACUGUAAUGCCAUUAAUUUGGUGUUGCGGGGAGACUGGACUGUUACUUUGAAAAAAUUAGAGUGUUUAAAGCAAGCUAACGCUUGAAUACAUUAGCAUGGAAUAAUGAAAUAGGACGUUCGAUCCUAUUUUGUUGGUUUCUAGGAUUGACGUAAUGAUUAAUAGGGAUAGUUGGGGGCAUUAGUAUUCAAUUGUCAGAGGUGAAAUUCUUGGAUUUAUUGAAGACUAACUACUGCGAAAGCAUUUGCCAAGGAUGUUUUCAU
rnacentral:rRNA from 1 species